UUUUUUAUGAGAGUUUGAUCCUGGCUCAGGACGAACGCUGGCGGCGUGCCUAACACAUGCAAGUCGAGCGAAGUUUUCAAAGCAGAUUUCUUCGGAUUGAAGCUUUGAUUAUCUUAGCGGCGGACGGGUGAGUAACGCGUGAGAAACCUGCCUUUCACAAAGGGAUAGCCUCGGGAAACUGGGAUUAAUACCUUAUGAUACUAAUUCUUCGCAUGAAGAAUUAGUCAAAGCGUAAAGCGGUGAAAGAUGGUCUCGCGUCCCAUUAGUUAGUUGGUGAGGUAACGGCUCACCAAGACCGCGAUGGGUAGCCGGCCUGAGAGGGUGAACGGCCACACUGGAACUGAGACACGGUCCAGACUCCUACGGGAGGCAGCAGUGGGGAAUAUUGCACAAUGGAGGAAACUCUGAUGCAGCGACGCCGCGUGAACGAUGAAGGCCUUCGGGUCGUAAAGUUCUGUCCUAGGGGACGAUAAUGACGGUACCCUAGGAGGAAGCCCCGGCUAACUACGUGCCAGCAGCCGCGGUAAUACGUAGGGGGCAAGCGUUGUCCGGAUUUAUUGGGCGUAAAGGGUGCGUAGGCGGCCUUUUAAGUCAGAUGUGAAAGGUCACGGCUCAACCGUGGUAAGCAUUUGAAACUGGAAGGCUUGAGUUAAGGAGAGGAAAGUGGAAUUCCUAGUGUAGCGGUGAAAUGCGUAGAUAUUAGGAGGAAUACCAGUGGCGAAGGCGACUUUCUGGACUUAUACUGACGCUGAUGCACGAAAGCGUGGGGAGCGAACAGGAUUAGAUACCCUGGUAGUCCACGCCGUAAACGAUGAGUGCUAGGUGUUGGGGGUCAAACCUCGGUGCCGCAGCUAACGCAUUAAGCACUCCGCCUGGGGAGUACGUACGCAAGUAUGAAACUCAAAGGAAUUGACGGGGACCCGCACAAGCAGCGGAGCAUGUGGUUUAAUUCGAAGCAACGCGAAGAACCUUACCAGGGCUUGACAUCCCUCGGACCGGAUUAGAGAUAAUCCUUUCCCUUCGGGGACUGAGGUGACAGGUGGUGCAUGGUUGUCGUCAGCUCGUGUCGUGAGAUGUUGGGUUAAGUCCCGCAACGAGCGCAACCCUUGCCUUUAGUUGCUAACAGUUCGGCUGAGCACUCUAGAGGGACUGCCGAUGAUAAAUCGGAGGAAGGUGGGGAUGACGUCAAAUCAUCAUGCCCUUUAUGUCCUGGGCUACACACGUGCUACAAUGGUCGGUACAACGAGUAGCUACUUAGCGAUAAGUUGCCAAUCUCUUAAAGCCGAUCCCAGUUCGGAUUGCAGGCUGCAACUCGCCUGCAUGAAGUCGGAGUUGCUAGUAAUCGCGAAUCAGAAUGUCGCGGUGAAUGCGUUCCCGGGUCUUGUACACACCGCCCGUCACACCAUGGGAGUUGGCAAUACCCGAAGCCAGUGAGCUAACCGCAAGGAGGCAGCUGUCGAAGGUAGGGUCAAUGACUGGGGUGAAGUCGUAACAAGGUAGCCGUAUCGGAAGGUGCGGCUGGAUCACCUCCUUUCU
rnacentral:rRNA from 1 species